AUCCAAUUUUCUAUUAUCUUUUG
rnacentral:snRNA from 1 species